rnacentral:rRNA from 1 species
AUGACCUGGCGGCAUGCCUUACAAUGCAAGUCGAACAGAGGCCACCUUAAGAAUAGUGAGUGCUUGAACAGAGUUGGAAGAAGAUCAUCGCCUAGUGGCUCACGGGUGAGUAACACGAGGGUUACCUACCUUCGAGUUGGGGAUAACAGUUGGAAACAAUUGCUAAUACCGAAUAAUAUGUACUUGUUCAUUGAAAGGAACCUUUAAAGCUACUCUUAAAGAUGGGCCUGCGGGGCAUUAACUAGUUGGUGAGGCUAAUGGCUCACCAAAGUAACAAUGCGCUAGCCGAACUGAGAGGUUGAUCGGCCACUCUGGGACUGACACACGGGCCAGACUCCUACGGGAGACAGCAAAUUAGAAUAUUCGCCUAUGGGGGAAACCCUGAACGACCAAUGCCUGCGUGAGUGAUGAAGGCCCUCUGGAAUUGUAAACUCUGUUGUAUGGGAAGAACGGCUAUAUUAGGAAAUGAAUAUACAGUGACCGCACCAUACCAGAAAGCUCCGGCUAACUACGUGCCAGCAGCCGCUCGUAU